rnacentral:rRNA from 1 species
UACGGAGGGUGCAAGCGUUAAUCGGAAUUACUGGGCGUAAAGCGUGCGCAGGCGGUUCGGAAAGAGAGGUGUGAAAUCCCAGGGCUUAACCUUGGAACUGCACUUUUAACUACCGGGCUAGAGUACGUCAGAGGGGGGUAGAAUUCCACGUGUAGCAGUGAAAUGCGUAGAGAUGUGGAGGAAUACCGAUGGCGAAGGCAGCCCCCUGGGAUGAUACUGACGCUCAUGCACGAAAGCGUGGGGAGCAAACAGG